UCCUUGUUACUUUCCCUUGAAGGACGAGAGGCAUUUUCAUCAGCUCUGCAGCUGACUACUACGGCAAUGAUUGGUCUUCAGGACUGCUAAGUACUUAAAUUGUGACUCUCCAGGACUCAUGAAGAGAAGUUGAAUCUUAUCAAAGGCCUUUUCUGCAUCCUCUGGAGUGCAUACUACAUACAACAGUUCGAUGAUCAGUGCAUCACUAAAGUAUCUCC